CCUACGGGAGGCAGCAGUGGGGAAUAUUGCACAAUGGGGGAAACCCUGAUGCAGCAACGCCGCGUGAGUGAAGAAGUAUUUCGGUAUGUAAAGCUCUAUCAGCAGGGAAGAUAAUGACGGUACCUGACUAAGAAGCACCGGCUAAAUACGUGCCAGCAGCCGCGGUAAUACGUAUGGUGCAAGCGUUAUCCGGAUUUACUGGGUGUAAAGGGAGCGCAGGCGGUGCGGCAAGUCUGAUGUGAAAGCCCGGGGCUCAACCCCGGGACUGCAUUGGAAACUGUCAUACUUGAGUGCCGGAGGGGUAAGCGGAAUUCCUAGUGUAGCGGUGAAAUGCGUAGAUAUUAGGAGGAACACCAGUGGCGAAGGCGGCUUACUGGACGAUAACUGACGCUGAGGCUCGAAAGCGUGGGGAGCAAACAGGAUUAGAUACCCCUGUAGUC
rnacentral:rRNA from 1 species